UGCUUGUUGUACAGGUCCCGGGU
rnacentral:piRNA from 1 species